rnacentral:rRNA from 1 species
UACGUAGGCAGCAAGCGUUGUUCGGAGUUACUGGGCGUAAAGAGUGCGUAGGUGGUGCCCUAAGUCUGUUGUGAAAUCUCCCGGCUUAACUGGGAGGGUGCGGUGGAAACUGGGGUGCUUGAGUGUGGGAGAGGUAAGCGGAAUUCCUGGUGUAGCGGUGAAAUGCGUAGAUAUCAGGAGGAACACCGGUGGUGUAGACGGCUUACUGGACCACGACUGACACUGAGGCACGAAAGCUAGGGGAGCAAACAGG